UUCUGUAAGCCGUUGAAGGUGUGCUGUGAGGCAUGCUGGAGGUAUCAGAAGUGCGAAUGCUGACAUAAGUAACGAUAAAGCGGGUGAAAAGCCCGCUCGCCGGAAGACCAAGGGUUCCUGUCCAACGUUAAUCGGGGCAGGGUGAGUCGACCCCUAAGGCGAGGCCGAAAGGCGUAGUCGAUGGGAAACAGGUUAAUAUUCCUGUACUUGGUGUUACUGCGAAGGGGGGACGGAGAAGGCUAUGUUAGCCGGGCGACGGUUGUCCCGGUU
rnacentral:rRNA from 1 species